CGGCAACUCUCCGGCAAUCUCCGGCACUCUGCGGCACUCUGGUGCACUUAACCACACUCAACGGCACUUAUAUCUUAACUAUCGAGCACCCACGUUGUAAUUUUGCCUGUAUCAUUUGCGGAUGAAAUAAAUGAGGUAAGCCUUCACCGUCAACUGCCGCAUGGUAUUACCAUCACGAG